GUUUCCCAUGAGAGGAAUGUACAUGUGAAGAGAGGUGAUGUCAUAUGAUUCAUGCUCAAUAGGAUUAUACUGAGGC
rfam:Mus musculus chromosome 7, GRC primary reference assembly.